rnacentral:lncRNA from 1 species
UGUCUAAGCGCGUUUCACACAACAUCUGUGUACAUAUUUAGAAAUAGAUUAUACAUCAAAAUAAACCAUCGAUAUUCACACAAAAACAGGUGUAAAUUUCAAGUAAUACUGAUUUAAAUAUUCUGUGCAAAUAACGUAUCUAUUAAUUGGAAUAUAAUGUGUUUAUGUGUGAAAAAGGACACGAAUACGUAUGGGGCGGCUAAUUGAAUAACAACGUUGCCGAGACCGUGCAAGCCGAAAGAUGGAAACGAGCGAGGAUGAUAUAACAAGGGGUUAUGAACUUCACCUGCGACAUCUUUUACUCUUGGGACAAGCUGCACCCAUAGCUUUAAAGACCGUUAUAGAAAGGGAGGUUAACAAACGCAACACAAGUCUUUCCAGUCUUGUAGCCGAGAAGAAGGAUACUUUCAACAAUUACUUCAACGCAGAGUUUCAAGACGAUGAAAUGAACACAAAGAUUGAUUCUUGGGAUACAGGUUUGCUUUGUGUUGCAAUACUGGUACUUUUUUAAUCAUAUUUAGCCACCCCUGAGAUUCAAGCAGUAACGUGCAUAAAUGAACAGAGGAAAGACUUGGAUAACUAUGCUCAAUCUGCUUCUCUAAACUUCGAUACAUUUAAGAGAAAAUGGGAUGAAUUGCAUACAGCAUUACUUAAGCUUAUCAAAGAUAUUGAUGACAAAGCAAAAUUUGAAUGCACACAAAUGAUUCACUCGUUCAACUCAGAAUGUAUCUCAGUUAAUUUAGAAAUGAUAAACAGAAUGAAACAGACCAAAGAUGUCAGCUCUCAUGUUCAAAUGGCCAUACAAGAUAAAGUCGUUCCAAAGAUACAUGGAAGAAAAGAAAGCACGUGUGACGAAAAUCAAGAAACAAUACCGCUUCAAAAUGAUGAGCCAGUAUUCACAGAAAAGCUGAAAUACACGAUGGUCUAUAUUAAUGAACCAACCAUUCUUACUUGUAAGCUCAACAUGCCUGAUUAAGCAGUCACAUGGCGAAAAAAUUACAUAACGCUAGAGGAAACAGAAACCGCAAUGUUUGUUGACAAAAAAUGUAAACACUGGUUAGCAAUUUCUGAAGCAAACUUGACAGACACAGGACAUUAUUCUUGCUCAUGUGGCAACUCUUCAACAACAGCGUUCCUUCAAGUUUUAGAGAAACCUUUGAAGAUUACCGAAGAGUUACACAUAGCUACAAAAGACAAAGAUGUCAGAGAAAAUAUGGACAUCAUUCUUUGUUCUAAGGUCAGCCUACAUACAAAUAAAGUUAUCUGGCGACAUAAUGGUAUAGAAAUAAAACAGUGUAAUAGACGCCAUGCCUCAUAUUGGGAACAAGAGCACACGCUGACAAUCCAUAAUGCAAAGUUUGCAGAUGAUGGUGAAUACAUGGUUGACUUUG